GCUACCGGAACUGUGAGCAAAGCUUUUCUUCCGUAUAUAUCAGAUAGAUGUCCAAGCAAUGGCAACAUCAUCAUUGAUCCCAGCCCUAAGAUCUGAAAUCAGCAGAAGUGAACUGGUAAUCAGAUAAUGCAUAUCUACUGUUUGUCAAAAUGAUUCACAAAUCACAAGUUAGAUCUGGAUUACACACAGCUUGCUGAAAACCAGAGAGAUAAAUGGCAAGUGAACAUUCGUCUUGAGAAGGGCAGAGUGCACCAACUGUAAUAUCAGUUAUGGCAGGAGGAAUGACAUUCAACGCAAAAUUUGCUAGAAAUACAGUAACAAACAGGUGCUUCAAGUCGCUCAAUUUAUCCAUCUUCAUUUUUCCUGUUUUCCUUUGAAAAAUCAAAUACAAUGG
rnacentral:misc_RNA from 1 species